rnacentral:lncRNA from 1 species
AAAACCAAGUAGGUGGGUACACCUGUGAGGGUUUUUUUCUUAAUUAAAUCCUUGGAAGAGGAAAAAACCUACUUUUAAUUUGAAUCGUUUGGGGUGGGAAGGUACACAUUUAAUCCAAAUCUUUUGAGGCGAGAGGAUCCACCUUUAAUCUGGGGCACACUUUCUAGUGGCAGCCUGUAUGAAGGACAUGGAAGAAGGAAGCUUGCUCUCUUGCCUGCUUGUUCUCACUCUCAGUGAAUGGCAAGUCCAUUCUGUCACUAUCAUUACAGUCUACUACUUUGGGAUUCUGGUACAUACUGAAGACCAGCUGAAUCAUCUAGCCUUGCAAACUGAACUACUACUGGAUUCCUGAACCUUCCACUGAUAGACAGCCAUUGUGGACUAGCUGGACUUCAGCCUGGGACAUCAGUGCUUGUAAUUCUAAGUCCCAGUACCUCAGUGGACCGUGCCACCUAGUCUCAAGCUUACGUGUUCGCAGUUGCAUGAGGGACAGUUCUACCAUGCCAAGCGUAAUCACCAACGGGCUAAAUAGGUAAGGCAUUUGUGAUUGUACCCGGGGUGGUUAUGUCAGGUAAGGGACAGUUAUGGCCUGCUUAUUGUUUUCAUUUGGGAUUUAAGGAGAUGUAAUUGUGUGUUAAGUUGAGAAGGAGGGAACUCGUGAUGAAUGUUCUCGGUUGUCGUCUUGACUUCACUUGAAAUUGACAAACUUAAGCAGCUGGCUACAGCUUCUGGGAAUUUUUUCUUAAGUUGUUUAAAGUGGGAAGACCCACUUUUAAUCCGAGCCGCUCUGUCUGGGAGCAGCAGACAUAAAGGAUGUUUGCUCGUUGCCUGCUUGCUCUCACUCUCACUGCCAAGUCUAUUCCUUCACUGGCAUUAGAGCCCGCUUCUUUGGGAUUCUGGUAUAUUCUGACAUCCAGCCUCAUGGACUGAGCAAUUACUGGAUUCUUGGACCUUCCAUUGGUAGACAGCCAUUGUUAGACUAGUUGGACCAUAUUCAUUCUAUUCCUCUAGAGACCUCUUACUAAUACACUCACUCCAUUCUUGUUUAGUCUGGUUUGUUAGGACCUGUGCAGCCCCGAGCAAUGGAUCUUCCUAUAAUUCUUAACACCCUGUGAUGAUUAAUACUGGUUGUCAACAGGAUCUAGAAUCAUCUAGGAGUCAAACCUUUGGAUGUACCUGGGAGGGAAUUACCUGGGUCAAGGUGGGAACACCAACCCUACAUGUGUGUGGCUGCCGUUGGUCCUAGCCUGAAUACAAAGGGGAAAGCAAGCUGGGGACCAGCAUCCCUCUCUCUGGCUUCCUGACUAAGGACAUUGUUGUGUCACCAGCUGCCUCAUGCUCCUGCCACUGAAUCAUCCCAGAACACUACCCUGAAACUGUGAAGGCAGAACAAACCUUCCUUCCCUGUACUAUCAGGAAUUGGUUUCAGCACUGAGAAAAGUUACCAGAAUGGACUUGAAUUUGGCAACUUGGCAACAGAUUAGUCAACCUGAUCCUUGGAAAUCAGACUCACCAAACUCUCGAGUGUUUUAGUUCCUGUUACUAUACACUUUCUGCAUAGUCCGGUUGCCGCAGACCACCCAGGGGAGUGUGUCAGCAGAGUGACCAAGGCUUGGAUUUCAGGUAGAGAACGGAUUCGUCGCGACAGACAGAUCCAAACUCGAGGUGUGUGCUGCUGCAAAAAGCUUUACUUCUUGGCAUAGAUUUAAGCAGUUAGAACAGGUACAUCAUAAUUGGCAGUCAUCCAGCUCUUAUUCAUCACCCCACCAAAUGUCCCUUGUAAGGAGGAAAGCAGAACAUAUAGUCUAGG